UAGCAUGAAGUCAGACAAGUGAACCCGCUGAAUUU
rnacentral:rRNA from 1 species